AAGGAGUCUAAGGCCUAACAUAUAUAUGCGAGUAUUUGGGUUGCAAAAACCCUGGUGCGCAAUGAAAGUAAAAGGGUAGGACGGCAACCGCACUACCAACUGAUUCCGUGAGGAAUCUCGAGUAAGAGCACAUCUGUUGGGCGACCCGUACAAGAUGGUGAUGUUUCUAUGCCUUUACAGGGAAACUCUGGUGGAGGCUCGUAGCAAUACUGACGUAUAAAUCAUCCGUCUGGUUUGGGUAUAGGGGCGAAAGACUCAUCGAACCAUCUAGUAGCUGGUUACCUC
rnacentral:misc_RNA from 1 species